GUCGUUCGAACCUAACAUCUUGGUCCUUCGAACCUGAUUCCAACAUACCUGAGGGGUCCAGUGGGUGAGGCUGAACCUCAGAAAAGACCAUGGCCACGGCAGGCCGCCUAGGUGCGACCUAAGACACCCUUUCCGGGACUGGGCUUCAACUCCCUGCUUGGAUCCUGACGGUUCACGGAUAUCCAGGAGGAAAGGCAACAGUGAGAUCUCAGAUGUUCUUGGAUUCUUGGAUCUUGCAGUCAGAAGUGCACCGUUCAUCACCACCACGGCUGCCUUCACUCCCCAGGUUGUCAUCUUCUUUCCUCCUUACUUGGUUCCCACAGACAUCAUCACUGUCGCCUACUGAUGUUUAACCACUCUACCUGACACCAUUUUAUCUCUGGAUCUGAUGUUUAUGUCUUAGAUUUAUGAGAAACAAUGAUAUGAUAUCACCUGAUAAUUUCUUUGGAGGCAUGACAGACAGCUUUGCAAUAAAAGGUAACGAUAAUGGGCAUCAUUAACUUGGAUAUAAUUCAUUAUAUAUGUUUAGAAUAUCAGUUAUGCUCCUAAUCUCAAGUCUGUGCCACCAAUUGGACUGAAAAAUAUAACACUGUUCAUGUUGUUCUGCAGUGACACUUUAAUAUCAGUUAAAGAUUGUAUCUGAUUCAUGAUCCAGCUUAGGCACUUUUAAAAUGGGCUUUAAAGAAAUGUCUGUGUAAAUUCUCAGUCAUCCAGGUCAUUGUAUCCAAGGUAGUUUUCUCUGUCAACUGGACUGGGUUUCUUCUCUUGAAGACGUUUCGCCUUCUAUCCAGAAGGCUUCUUCAGUUCUGAAAUCGCUGGGGAGAGAGCUUGAAAAUAUAUAGCCCCUGUGGACCAUUUGCAUGCUAAUGAUCUGGGUGGUCACCUGAGAGUCGUUAGCAGGGUCGUUGGUCGGGUCG
rnacentral:lncRNA from 1 species